rnacentral:rRNA from 1 species
ACCUACGGGAGGCAGCAGUAGGGAAUCUUCCACAAUGGGCGAAAGCCUGAUGGAGCAACGCCGCAUGGGUGAAGAAGGUCUUCGGAUCGUAAAACCCUGUUGUUAGAGAAGAAAGUGCGUGAGAGUAACUGUUCACGUUUCGACGGUAUCUAACCAGAAAGCCACGGCUAACUACGUGCCAGCAGCCGCGGUAAUACGUAGGUGGCAAGCGUUAUCCGGAUUUAUUGGGCGUAAAGGGAACGCAGGCGGUCUUUUAAGUCUGAUGUGAAAGCCUUCGGCCUAACCGGAGUAGUGCAUUGGAAACU